ensembl:lncRNA
GCCAUUUAAAGGCUGACUGCCACUGAGGAAAGGUUCUCUUUCUGGAGAUCCCUCCUUGGUGAAGCUUUCCCCUGCAAACCUAGAGUCUUCUGAGACAGAGACAUCAGUGACAGGCCUCCCUAUCUAACUGCUCUAAAUCUCCAGGAGAGAGAGAUCUUUGUGAGUCCCUCACUGUAUUAUCAAAAAUCAACAUGUCUCAUCCCUGUCAAGACACAGAUGUGCCAAAAAUAUUGAAUGGAUCAGAGAAGCCAGAGCAGGCACCAGCCAGCCUGCUGUGGCUGCUUUUGUCCACUUUGAGUUAGACUGUGGAAGAAGGAAAACAAACAAACAAAAAAACAGAUGCUGUUACCAAACACAGCAGAGACAGAAAGUCACAGAAGAAUGCCAAGGGAAAUUUUCAAAGAAGAGGACAGGAAUACCCAUUCUUGACAUCUCUGACAGAUCAACUAUGUUACUUCACAAAAUGGUUGAUGUAUCGUCUUCUGAAGCCCUCACUCCUCAUUCUUGUCUUUCUUAUGGAGAGAGGCAGAAAGUGAACGAAGAUAGCACUAAACUCUUUCCCUGUAUUACUCAAACUAAUUAUUUUUUCCUGUGUAACAAGUUUAGCUUGUUAAAACCCC